GUUAAGGGAGUGGGAUGAGCUCUAUAGCCCAGUGAGUAGAACAGUAAAACAUCUCAGUAAAAUAUGCUCUCAUGGAAUGCACCAUAUCACAGACAAGCCACAUCAAGAGCAAACCUGUCACCACAUAGUCCCAGUAACUCUGUGCCAGGGCGUAGAAUUGAGCACCUGGUCUUCCUGUCAUAUAGAUAUAUGUGUAUAUAACACCUCUAUACUUACCAUUGCCAGGGCGUAGUCAAAGGCUCCUGGACUUUGCUAUACCUACUAGGGCGUAGUCAAAGGCUCCUGGACUUCCUGUCUGAGACUAUUGGAUCAUUCAGCAUUCACUCACAUCACCAAAUAACGAUGCAAUGCAACAUAUUCAUGGAUACUAAUGCAAUCAACCUGUGGCAUAAUCAUGAUGCAUGAGAUAUGCUAAAACAUUCCAUUGUGCAAGUAAAAGAGUUAAGUUUAGUUCCACUCACCUCUGGCUAACUGGACUGACUCUGCAGGCUCUGAACACUCUUGGAGCAGAACUCACUGCUGCUCUCUCUGGUUCCUCUGGUCUGUACCUAUAUAGAUAGACUGAAAUGAGGGACCAAACUAGCUUAUGACCAACUCUAUUAAACUCCCCAAGAAUCCCCUUAAACUCACGCUAACAUCCAUGCAAAGCAUGCAAAGGAAAGCUGGACAGAACACUUUCGGCGGCAGGUUCGGCGGCCGAAAGUCCUCUCCAGAGACGAAACUCAAGCACCUUCGGCGGCCGAACUUCCACUUUCGGCUGCCGAACCCUUUCGGGGGCAAGUUUCGGAGGCCAAAAGGCACUCCAGAGAUGAAAGUCUCUAUCCUUCGGCGGCACCUUCGGCGGCCGAACUUCCCUCAAGAGCCGAAAGUCUAAAAGCUCGGGGGCAAGCUUAGGCAGCCGAAGCCACCUCCUCACACCUCCUCAGGGAUUCGGCGGCCGAAUGUACCUUCGGCUGCCGAACCUGAGUUCAUCAGCAGGGCAGAAACUUGCCCUGCCUCUCGCCAAAUGCACCAAACUCCUCUCCAACUUCACACCACACUUCCUCAACUUGCAUACACUCAUGUAUAUGCCCAAAGGGGUCAAAAACUACCUAAAAACCCCAAACAUACAACACAAACAACACAGAAACAAGCUCUAUGCACAAAAUCAUCAAAACCUCUCUUUUUACCCUAUUCAUGCAACUCUCUCUACAAACCCCAUAAAACCUUCAGAAAACAAAAAAACAAGCGUAGGAUCUUCACUUACCUUGUGAAAACAAGUAGAUGAAUGAUCCUCACGUGGAGUUUUGGAGCAACUCUCCUUCAAACUCUCCAAACUUCACCACUUUGAGUUUUUAGCUUAAAACCUUCAAAAGAUCAUAAAAACUAAUCAAAUCUUUGCAUGAUUUAAUGAAAACAUGAAGAAAUACUCACAAAGGGCAGAGUUUCACCUCAGCAAGUGAAAGAAACGGUGCUCUACCGCUUCAACCGACUGAGGGCCAUUUAUAGGUGGCUGGCCAGACCACCUUCGGCGGCCACACGUGAAACCGAAAGCCAUGCAUGUUCGGCGGCCGAACCUCAACUUGGGCGGCUGAACCUGGCUUUUCUGCCUUGGUUCAUUUCACUCAAAAACUCAUUUCAUUGUACUUAAAACGUCAUGAACAUAGCAAAACAUUUAAGAAAAACAUGAAUCUCACCCUUCUAGAGACUUCCGACAUCUUGAACUCCACCGAAAAGUCGAAUUCCAAUGCCGGACUCUAGCCGGGUAUUACAUUCUCCCCCCCUUAAGAACAUUUGUCCUCGAAUGAUCCAAAAACAAAUAAUGAACACAUAAAAAGGAGGAAACUAACCUCAAAACAAAUAUGGAUACUGCUGGAGCAUAGACUCCCGCGUCUCCCAGGUGCACUCUUCUAGAUUAUGGUGGUUCCACAGAACUUUCACCAUCGGAAUCUCCUUGUUCCUUAGCUGUCUGAUCUGUGUGUCCAGAAUCCACACUGGCUGCUCUAUAUAGGUGAGAUCUGUAAGAAUCUCCACCUUAGGCUCACUCAGAACCUGAUUCGGAUCUGACACAAACCGCCGUAGCAUAGAAACAUGAAAUACCAGGUGAAUUCUCUCCAUAGAAGCAGGUAAAUCCAGCUUAUACGACACAUUUCCGAUCCUCUGCAACACCUCAAAGGGUCCAAUGUACCGUGGAGCUAAUUUACCCUUCUUCCCAAAAUGAACCACUCCUUUCAUUGGAGACACUUUCAGCAAUACCCAAUUACCCUCCUGGAACUCUAAUUGCUUUCUGCGAACGUCUGCAUAACUUUUCUGUCUGCUCUACGCUGUUCUGAUUCUCUCUCUGAUCAUAGGCACUACUCUACUGGUAAUCUCUACUAACUCUGGCCCUGCAAGUGCCUUCUCUCCUACCUCUUCCCAGCAAACAGGGGAUCUGCACUUCCUCCCAUACAAAGCUUCAUAAGGAGCCAUCCCUAUGCUAGCAUGAUGGCUGUUAUUGUAGGCAAACUCUACCAAAGGUAGAUGUUGUCGCCAAGAACCGCCAAAGUCUAACACACACAAUCGAAGCAUAUCCUCUAUGGUCUGGAUGGUCCUUUCUGACUGUCCAUCAGUCUGUGGGUGGAAAGCAGUGCUAAAAUCCAACCUCGUGCCCAUCGCACUCUGCAGACUUCGCCAAAAUCUAGAGGUAAACUGAGGUCCUCUGUCUGAAACUAUAGACACUAGAACUCCAUGUAAUCUCACUAUCUCAUCCAGAUACACCUGUGCCAACUUAUCCACAGAAUAGUUACUCCGUACUGGAAGAAAAUGAGCAGAUUUCGUGAGUCUGUCUACAAUCACCCAAAUAGAGUCUAUCCUGUUAGACACUGCUGGUAAACCCACUACAAAAUCCAUGGCUAUGUUCUCCCACUUCCACUCUGGAAUCGGUAAUGGGUUAAGCAUUCCUGCUGGUUUCUGAUGCUCUAGUUUCACCCUCUGACAAACCUCACAGGCUGUCACAAACUGCGCCACUUCUUUCUUCAUGACUGGCCACCAAUAAACCCUUUUUAGAUCCUGGUACAUUUUGGUGGCUCCUGGGUGAACACUAUACCUUGCAUUAUGAGCUUCCCUCAUAAUGUCUUCCUUCACACUGCCCCUAUCUGGUACACAAAGUCGACUCCCAUAGCGGAGGAUCCCUUUGCUGUCAAAUCUGAAUUCUGCACUGUUGCCUGACUGAACAGUCCUGGCAAUUUUCAUCAACUCAGGGUCCUCAUGCUGUCUCUGAGCUAUCUGCUCCAGAAACACAGGUGUCACUCUCAUUUGUGCUAUCAAUGCACCUGUACCAGCCAACUCUAACUGUAACCCUUCUUCUAAGAGCUUAUAAAGCUCCAUCACGACUGGUCUUCGCUCUGCUGCUAUAUGGGAUAAACUUCCUAGUGACUUCCGGCUUAGGGCAUCUGCCACAACAUUCGCCUUACCCGGAUGAUACUGGAUCUUACAAUCAUACUCACUGAGCAAUUCGACCCAUCUUCUCUGCGUCAAAUUCAGCUCUCUCUGACUCAAGAUGUACUGUAAACUCUUGUGAUCAGUGAAGAUCUCGCAUUUAACCCCGUAGAGGUAAUGCCGCCACAUCUUAAGUGCAAAGAUAACUGUUGCCAUCUCUAGGUCAUGGGUGGGGUAAUUCAACUCGUGCUUCUUCAACUGUCUAGAAGCAUAAGCAAUCACCCUAUCACUCUACAUCAAAACACAACCCAAUCCCACUCGAGAUGCAUCGCAGAACACUGUGAAAUCCUCAUUACUGACAGACAGAGCUAACACUGGUGCUGUUGUCAAUCUCCUCUUGAGCUCCUCAAAGUUCUCUUCACACUGGUCUGACCAGAUAAACUUCUGGUUCUUCUGCGUCAAUUUGGUCAUAGGAGCUGCUAUCUUUGAGAAGUUCUGAACGAACCUCCUGUAGUAACCUGCCAGUCCCAGAAAGCUUUUAAUCUCAGUCACUGUAGUGGGUCUGGGCCAGUUAGCUACCGCCUCUAUCUUCUUGGGAUCUACCUCAAUACCCUCGGCUGAUACUACAUGUCCCAAGAAGGAAAUACUCCUCAACCAAAACUCACACUUCGAGAACUUGGCAUACAAACCAUGCUCUCUCAGUAUCUGCAGAACUAUCCUCAGAUGCUGGGCAUGCUCUUCUGCAUCUCUGGAAUACACUAAAAUAUCAUCGAUGAAAACAAUGACAAAGUGAUCCAAAAACUCACUGAAUACCCUGUUCAUGAGAUCCAUGAAUGCUGCAGGGGCGUUAGUCAACCCGAACGGCAUCACUAAGAACUCAUAAUGCCCAUAUCUAGUUCUGAAAGCUGUCUUUGGCACAUCUGCCUCUCUAACUCGCAACUGAUGAUACCCGGAUCUCAGAUCUAUUUUAGAGAAACAACCUGCUCCAGCUAGCUGGUCAAACAGAUCAUCAAUCCUAGGUAGAGGAUACCUAUUCUUGGUAGUGACCUUGUUCAACUGUCUAUAGUCGAUACAAACUCUGAGGGAUCCAUCCUUCUUUCUGACAAAGAGCACUGGAGCACCCCAAGGUGAGGUACUAGGGCGGAUGAAACCCUUAUCUACCAAAUCCUGCAACUGUUCUUUCAACUCUUUUAACUCUGCUGGCGCCAUCCUGUGGGGAGGAAUAGAGAUAGGUCUGGUAUCUGACAGCAAUUCAAUUUCAAACUCUAUCUCCCUACUGGGUGGUAGUCCUGGAAGUUCAUCUGGAAAAACAUUGAGAAACUCUCGGACUACUGGUACUGCGGCUGGUUCCCUCACCUGACUGUCUAGCUCUCUCACAUGAGCUAGAAACCCCUGACAACCCCUCCUAAGCAAACGACGAGCCUGAAGGGCUAAAAUCAUACCUCUGGGUGUACCUCUCCUGUCUCCUCUGAAGACACACUCUGACCCAUCCUAGUCUCUGAGACUCACUAUCUUCUCUCUACAGUCCAAAGUAGCACUAUAUGCAGAUAGCCAAUCCAUCCCUAGAAUGACAUCAAAAUCUGUCAAGUCUAGAACCACAAGGUCAGCUAGAAGGCAUCUACCCUCUAUGAACACUGGACUGAAACGACAGACUGACACUGCCACUGAUGGGUCACAUCUAGGUCUACUGACCCAGAGAGGAUACUCUAACUCAGAACUGAUCAAACCCAAUCUCUCUAUGGCUCUCGAAGCAAUAAAGGAAUGAGAAGCACCGGGGUCCAUCAAAGCAUACACAUUGGAACACCCAAUGAUGAGAUUACCUGACACCACUGUGUUCGACGUGUUAGCCUCCUCCUGUGUCACAGUGAAAAUCCAUGCUGGGGCUACCGGAUUUCCACCUCGGGAACCUGCUGCUGAAGUAGAGGCUGCCCCUCUCCCUCUACCUCUGCCACUACUCUGAGGCAUGACUGGAGCUACUGGCUGUACAACUGGUUGUACCACACUGCCUGAACUCAUCUGCUGGGAUGGUGCAAAAGUCAUCUGCGGACAAUCCCGAGCAAUAUACCCUUCCUGUCCACAUCUAAAUCAAGCUGUAGAUCCCAACCGACAAACUCCGCCAUGUGGUUUUCCGCAUCUUCUGCAUACUGGAGCUGUGCCAGAGCUUGAGCCACUACCUAUUCCCAGACCUGACUUGACUUUACUCCAGAACUUACUCUUUGUUCCUUUUGCUCUAUCCCAUCUCUUGCUGCCUGAACUGGGGGCCUUAGAACCCGAAGCCUGUGCCUUUGACUAUUUCUGAAUAUUGGCACUAGCUUCCAUUUUCCUGGCUGCGUCUACUAUAGUGUGAAAACUCUCCUUUUCUGCUGGAAGAAUCAAGGAAGAAUACCUGGGAUGCAAUCUCAUAGUAUAUCUCCUUGCCUUCUUCUGAUCAGUAUCAUAGGCUUGACCCACAUACUGAAGCAAAUCCAGGAACUUAUCUGUGAAUUCAUCAACACUCAUCUCAUAUGUCUGUCGCAACUGUUCAAAUUCAAUUACUUUCAUCUCCCUAGAACUGUCAGGAAAAGCCCACCCUGCAAACUCAUUGGCGAACUCUCCCCAAGACAUACUAGUCAUCUUGGGUUCCACAUAAUUCUUGAACCAUUCUCUGGCUUUCUUGCAUUUAAGUGUAAACCCUGCCAUCUCAAUGGCUCUACUAUCAUCAGCUCCCAACUCACUGGUUAUCAUCCUAACUGAUCUGAGGUAUUCAAAUGGAUCAUCUCCCGUGUUAUAUUUAGGAGCAUCCAAUUUCAAAUACUCUGUCAUUUGUACCUUACCUCCAGAUGAGCUAGGUUGAUGUCUGUCAACAACAGGGGCUACUGGUUCUGGUGGUGGUGGUACUGGAUCAUUUGGCUCUGGGUGUGCUGCACUAGGAUGGGUAGGGGAAGGUGGAUACAUAGGAUACGGUGGAUAAUAAGAAGGAUAAGGCAUAUAUAGCAUGUAAGGAGGAUAUGGGAUAAAACUAGAGUACUCCGACAUACCUCCCAUCGGAUACUCUGGGUCCUGCGGAAAGGCUGGAUAGCCAAAACCUGAGGCCUGAGCGCCUCCCUGCGACUCUCCCAUACCUUCCUCAAAUCUGCCUAUACCCAUGCUGUCAUCUCUCGACUGGUCACUUUCCAUAGCUUCCCUCCUUUCUUUCGAUCUUUCUCCUCUCGCUGUACCUCUUCUGCUCUCGUCUACAGACCUUCUAGGGUCUAUUGACGUACCUUCCCUACUAGAUCUCUGAGACCUUGCCCUCGGCAAUGCAGGAGGACGAGCAGCUGGUCUCUCACUCUCUGGUGGGACUCUAGUCAAUCGAGCUGAUCGACGAGUUCCUCUCAUCUUUACUCUCUGGAAAACAACACAUAACAUAGCACUUUAGCACAUAAACAUCACAUAUCAAUAAUGCACAUGCAAAACUCAUGGCAUAGCAUAGCAGAUAGGACUCAAGACCCUAUCCUAGUGGACAUGAUUCUUAUUGUGCUUGACCACUUCUAACCUGUAUGAGCCCAACACUGUCUCUAUAGGUCCGAUCAUGUGAACCUAGGGCUUUGAUACCAAUCUGUAACGACCCCAAAAUGGACUGUCACCGGCGCUAGGAUUCAGGUCGGCUUAAGGCCGCCAGAACCCAUAGCAAGCCUGUUAUACUUUCUAUGUACCUGUAAAACUCAUACAUGAUCAUACAUUUUCUGUCAAAAUAAAAACUCUUUGCUCUGAACCAAGGCUUAACCUGUGCAUGCACUAUCUCUGUACUCUGUACUCUGUACUCUGUACUCUGUACUCUGUACUCUAUACCCCUGACUAGAGCUUGCUCUAGAUGGGUUAACUCAUACCUGUUAAGCCUAGUUUUGCACAUACAGCAAACCACAUAUACAUAUACAGAUCAUGUACAAAAUAUACAUCACUAAGUCAAGCACAUUUCUAACUUUAUACACAACUAGUACAUCUCUUUAAUAUUACAUGUCCACUCUAAGCUAUUACAUUACAAAUCUCUUUACUCUUUCUCUACUUUGCUGGACUGUCCCUGUGUAUACUGUACACUGAACCUGCAAAACUAGGGUUAAGGGAGUGGGAUGAGCUCUAUAGCCCAGUGAGUAGAACAGUAAAACAUCUCAGUAAAAUAUGCUCUCAUGGAAUGCACCAUAUCACAGACAAGCCACAUCAAGAGCAAACCUGUCACCACAUAGUCCCAGUAACUCUGUGCCAGGGCGUAGAAUCGAGCACCUGGUCUUCCUGUCAUAUAGAUAUAUGUGUAUAUAACACCUCUGUACUUACCAUUGCCAGGGCGUAGUCAAAGGCUCCUGGACUUUGCUAUACCUGCCAGGGCGUAGUCAAAGGCUCCUGGACUUUACUAUACCUGCCAGGGCGUAGUCAAAGGCUCCUGGACUUCCUGUCUGAGACUAUUGGAUCAUUCAGCAUUCACUCACAUCACCAAAUAACGAUGCAAUGCAACAUAUUCGUG
rnacentral:lncRNA from 1 species